UUUAAUAUGGCAGAAAAGUGCAAUGGAUUUAAGAUCCAUAUAUAAAAUUUUUAAAAAUUUUUAUUAAAA
rnacentral:tRNA from 1 species